CUCUUGGUAAUUUUCUAAGUAAUCUCUGCCCUAUGAGUCGUUUAAAUGGCCGCAGUAUUUUGACUGUGCAAAGGUAGCAUAAUCACUUGCUUUUUAAUUGGGAGCUGGAAUGAAAGAGGCGACGAAAUCUAGACUAUUUAAAUUUUAAAAGAAAUUGACAUAUAGGUUAAAAGGCCUAUAUAAACCAAGGGGACGAUAAGACCCUAUAAAACUUUACUCUUUGUGUGGGACCUGCUGGGAUUAGUUCUGUACUAGAGAGUUUAACUGGGGCGGUAGUUAUAAAAACAAUUAUAUGUGUAAUAUAUUAAAUAGCGUGGUAGAACUCUUUAAGAAAUAGAAGAAGUUACUUUAGGGAUAACAGCGUAAUCCCCCCAGAGAGUCCUGAUUGGCGGGGGAGCUUACGACCUCGAUGUUGAAUUGGGGUU
rnacentral:rRNA from 1 species